rnacentral:piRNA from 1 species
UGAAUGUGCACAGGCACAAGUGUGCAUGAU